rnacentral:lncRNA from 1 species
GAUGUAUAGAGAGAAUUCCCGCAGGAGAGAGAUGGCAUAUUUCAAAUUGAGACUAUUCGAUCCAGGGGCUGGUCAUCAAGAUGGAGCAGGGUAUAGAGAAGCCAUUAGGGAUGAUACAGAACACCACCAAAGGAGCUCCUUCUGGGAUUCUCUAUUGGCUGAACUCAGCCAGAAGCUGCCAAGGGAGACCCCCACAACUGGAUGCAGCCCACUGAAGUCAGCUUCCUGGGGUGCGUAGCUGAAGGUAGCAGGGAGCAAAAAGAAUCUGAAGGGGAAGUGAACAAUGUAGAGCGUAUCUGUGCUGAAGACGUAAGGAGAGAGUGGAGGUCAGAAGCUGGCAUGGUCCCUGGUGCAUGUAUCAGCCGCUAAAGAAGUGGAGAGUAUGAACAUAAGCAAGAGGAAGUGAUGAGUAUCCCUUCCAGGAGAACUCUAAGAGGCAGUGAGUGAUUUGCUGGGCUCCCAAGCCCUCUGCUCUGAUGACAGCAAAGCCCCAAAUCAUGGUGCCUCCAUCAGUCGGGACCCCUCAGCAGAGCCAGCUUCACAGCUGGAGUGGAUGAAUCAGAACUUUCCCCAUGGGAGCAUUUAUAAAAAGGGGACACCCAGCGCAGAAGAUGUUUUCCAGGGAGAUCUCGGGGAGCCCAACAAGCCAAGAAGAGCAGAGCAAAGCAUUCCAAGGAAGGACUCUAAGUCUGCAACCGAGCACACACGAGCACAAGGAAAGACCAUGUGAAUACACAGCAAGAACGUGGUGCUCUGCAAGUCAGAAACAGACCCGUCAUCAGAC